rnacentral:rRNA from 1 species
UACGUAGGGGGCGAGCGUUGUCCGGAGUUACUGGGCGUAAAGCGCUUGUAGGCGGUCCACCAAGUUUGGGGUGACAGUUGCCGACUUAAUCGGCAAAGUGCCUCAAAGACUGGCGGACUUGAGGGCCACAGAGGGACAUGGAACUCCAGGUGUAGUGGUGAAAUGCGUAGAUAUCUGGAAGAACACCUAUGGCGAAGGCAGCUCUCUGGGACGGUACUGACGCUGAGACGCGAAAGCGUGGGGAGCGAAUGGG